UGCCCGAUAGUAUAAUGGUAGUACGACAGAUUCUGGCUCUGUAUGUUGGGGUUCGAGCCCUCAUCGGGCAA
rnacentral:tRNA from 1 species